GGCACUCCCGAGAGCGGCGAGGCUGCCACACGGAUUGGGGGUGCUAUACCAGCUGGCCAGUAGUGCUGAGAAUAAUGGUCAGGAUUUGAGCACUAAGGCAAUCUCAAGUAACUAAAGGAGUUCUGGAAAACUACUGAAAGGACUUCAAUAGGACUGUUGUUUUUGAUAGCAGUUGCUGUCAGCUGUGAAAGGCACUUAAUAUGCUAAAAGAGAAUGCUGAUAUAUCUUAUGUAUGUAAUGGGAGGAAAGUUUCAUCUUGAUUUCCCUGAAUUUCUUCACAUGGA